CGUUCCCGGGUCUUGUACACACCGCCCGUCACACCAUGGGAGUUGGUUCUACCUUAAGCCGGCCUGUCAACCGCAAGGGGGGCAACCGACCACGGUAGGGUCAAUGACUGGGGUG
rnacentral:rRNA from 1 species